rnacentral:rRNA from 1 species
UACGUAGGGUGCAAGCGUUAAUCGGAAUUACUGGGCGUAAAGCGUGCGCAGGCGGUUAUGCAAGACAGAUGUGAAAAUCCCCGGGCUCAACCUGGGAACUGCAUUUGUGACUGCAUAGCUGGAGUGUGGCAGAGGGAGGUGGAAUUCCACGUGUAGCAGUGAAAUGCGUAGAGAUGUGGAGGAACACCGAUGGCGAAGGCAGCCUCCUGGGCCAGCACUGACGCUCAUGCACGAAAGCGUGGGGAGCAAACAGG